rnacentral:rRNA from 1 species
GGGGGAUAACUACUGGAAACGGUAGCUAAUACCGCAUAACGUCGCAAGACCAAAGAGGGGACCUUCGGGCCUCUUGCCAUCAGAUGUGCCCAGAUGGGAUUAGCUUGUUGGUGGGGUAACGGCUCACCAAGGCGACGAUCCCUAGCUGGUCUGAGAGGAUGACCAGCCACACUGGAACUGAGACACGGUCCAG